GUUGAAACACUAUUUCCCGUACGGUCACCGAAGUUGAGCAAUGUUGGGCCUGGUCAGUACCUUGAUGGGUAACCACUUGGGAAUGACAGGUGCUGCAAG